GACGAACGCUGGCGGCGUGCUUAACACAUGCAAGUCGAACGGAAAGGUCCCUUUGGGGGUCCUCGAGUGGCGAACGGGUGAGUAACACGUGAGUAACCUGCCCUUGACUUCGGGAUAACUUCAGGAACCUGGGGCUAAUACCGGAUAGGAAUCCUUGCUGCAUGGUGGGGGUUGGAAAGCUUCGGCGGUUUUGGCUGGACUGGCGGCUUAUCAGCUUGUUGGUGGGGUAGUGGCUUACCAAGGCUUUGACGGGUAGCCGGCCUGAGAGGGCGACCGGCCACAUUGGGACUGAGAGGCGGCCCAGGCUCCGACGGGAGGCAGCAGGGGGGAAGAUUGCACGAGGGGCGGAAGCCUGAUGCAGCAACGCCGCGGGCGGGAAGACGGCCUUCGGGUUGUAAACCGCUUUCAGCAGGGGCGAAGCUUGUGGUGACGGUACCUGCAGAAGAAGCACCGGCUAACUACGUG
rnacentral:rRNA from 1 species